AACACGGAGCUUGCUCUGUGGGAUCAGUGGCGAACGGGUGAGUAACACGUGAGCAACCUGCCCCUGACUCUGGGAUAAGCGCUGGAAACGGCGUCUAAUACUGGAUAUGUGACGUGAUCGCAUGGUCUGCGUCUGGAAAGAAUUUCGGUUGGGGAUGGGCUCGCGGCCUAUCAGCUUGUUGGUGAGGUAAUGGCUCACCAAGGCGUCGACGGGUAGCCGGCCUGAGAGGGUGACCGGCCACACUGGGACUGAGACACGGCCCAGACUCCUACGGGAGGCAGCAGUGGGGAAUAUUGCACAAUGGGCGCAAGCCUGAUGCAGCAACGCCGCGUGAGGGAUGACGGCCUUCGGGUUGUAAACCUCUUUUAGCAGGGAAGAAGCGAAAGUGACGGUACCUGCAGAAAAAGCGCCGGCUAACUACGUGCCAGCAGCCGCGGUAAUACGUAGGGCGCAAGCGUUAUCCGGAAUUAUUGGGCGUAAAGAGCUCGUAGGCGGUUUGUCGCGUCUGCUGUGAAAUCCGGAGGCUCAACCUCCGGCCUGCAGUGGGUACCGGCAGACUAUAGUGCG
rnacentral:rRNA from 1 species